CUUUACUAUAACUUGGAAUUGGGUUCGGGCUUCGCUUGCGCAGGAUAGGUGGGAGGCAUUGAAGUACCCCUUGUGGGGGGUAUGGAGCCAACAGUGAGAUACCACUCUAGCGAGGCUAGAAUUCUAACCUUAACCCCUGAACGGGGAAAGAGACAGUUUCAGGCGGGUAGUUUGACUGGGGCGGUCGCCUCCUAAAAGAUAACGGAGGCGCGCAAAGGUUCCCUCAGGCUGGUUGGAAAUCAGCCAAAGAGUGCAAAGGCAGAAGGGAGCUUGACUGUGAGAGAGACAUCUCAAACAGGGACGAAAGUCGGCCUUAGUGAUCCGACGGCACCGCGUGGAAGGGCCGUCGCUCAACGGAUAAAAGUUA
rnacentral:rRNA from 1 species